rnacentral:rRNA from 1 species
CUGUGAUCCCCUCGGGGUGAACUUGUCGCUGUCGAGUGGCGGACGGGUGAGUAAUGCUUAGGAAUCUGCCCAGUAGUGGGGGACAACAGUUGGAAACGACUGCUAAUACCGCAUACGCCCGUUCGGGGAAAGCGGGGGACCUUCGGGCCUCGCGCUAUUGGAUGAGCCUAAGUCGGAUUAGCUUGUUGGUGGGGUAAAGGCCUACCAAGGCGACGAUCCGUAGCUGGUCUGAGAGGAUGAUCAGCCACACUGGGACUGAGACACGGCCCAGACUCC